AACGAACGCUGGCGGCAGGCCUAACACAUGCAAGUCGAACGCUCUAGCAAUAGAGAGUGGCAGACGGGUGAGUAACGCGUGGGAACCUUCCCAAUGGUGCAGAAUAGCCCAGGGAAACUUGGGGUAAUACUGCAUAAGCCCUUCGGGGGAAAGAUUUAUCGCCAUAGGAUGGGCCCGCGUCGGAUUAGCUAGUUGGUGAGGUAAUGGCUCACCAAGGCAACGAUCCGUAGCUGGUUUGAGAGAAUGACCAGCCAAACUGGGACUGAGACACGGCCCAGACUCCUACGGGAGGCAGCAGUGGGGAAUCUUGGGCAAUGGGCGCAAGCCUGAUCCAGCCAUGCCGCGUGAGUGACGAAGGCCUUAGGGUUGUAAAGCUCUUUUGCCGGGGACGAUAAUGACGGUACCCGGAGAAUAAGUCCCGGCUAACUUCGUGCCAGCAGCCGCAGUAA
rnacentral:rRNA from 1 species